rnacentral:misc_RNA from 1 species
UACGGGGGGUGCAAGCGUUGUCCGGAUUUAUUGGGUUUAAAGGGUGCGUAAGCGGCUUUGUAAGUCAGUAUUAAAAGACGGCAGCUUAACUGUCGAUUGGGUAUUGAUACUGCAAGGCUUGAGUGAAGACGAGGUAGGCGGAAUUGAUAAUGUAGCGGUGAAAUGCAUAGAUAUUAUCAGGAACUCCGAUUGCGAAGGCAGCUUACUAGGCUUCUACUGACGAUGAGGCACGAAAGUGUGGGGAGCAAACAGG